AACUGGGUAAUCGUGUAUUUGUAUGAUU
rnacentral:guide_RNA from 1 species